UCCCAAGUACUUCUUGUUCCAAGUCUCUCUACGUUGCUUUCUUUGAAGCCCAAAUGACCAAAUGCCUUUCACUAGCUUGUGGUCCCCCACCAAUUCAAGGGCCCAAGGAUUGAAACCCUUAGAAGUCUCCAUAUUUUUCACAAAGUCCCUCCUUUUUGGUAGUUUUCUGCUUCAUUCCUGAAAUUGAUUCCAAAUACCAAAUAUGAGUAAAUAUCAGCAAUUAACACAAUAUUUGUCAGGGAUAGAAGGGAAAAUUAAUAAUAAAAAUACCAACAAUUAACACCCUAUCAAUUCCCCCCACACCUAAACCAUGCUUGUCCUCAAGCAUGAGAACAAGAAACAAACACCAAUAUUUGAUAGUGGCUAUUGCUCUAUCCAACAAAUUGCCAAGAUACCAAGAAAAAUAAUAUUCAAGCAUCAAUGGUCAAGUCCAAGAAACAUCACUCCGGUUAGCUUCUAAACCACAAACUCCUCUAAUUCCAGGUUAACUAAUCUAAGAAAAAGGAAUGACACACAACAUUUAUCAGCAAAUGGUCCAACUAUUAACCAAAAUCUCAACAUUAAAUCCAUAAUUCGGCAAGCUGACUUUUAUUACACACUAACACAACCUUCACUUUUUUUUCACAUUUUUUCUACUUUUCUCUCUUUUUUUUUUUGAUUCUUUUUUUUCUUUCAAUAGUAACAAAAGACUUAGUCGCUAGCCAUUUGAGCCUUUUGACGCGAACUCCAACAUUGGCCAGAUGAAGGAGCCCGGUUACUCAGCUUCUAUCGCCACGUGAUCACGUACUCAUAGCAAUUACUACUUUUUGACGCGAGAAUCGACACUUUUAGGUGCAGAUCCCCGGUUUCUCAGUAGUAACUAAUAGCGGAGUACAGUCAAGUUUAUUCAUAGCUAAAAAUCACAAAAACUCAAUAUAACACAAGAACCAAAAGAAAACUUGCAUCAGCUAACCUCAUUUUCAAACAUGGAGAACUAAAGUUAAUAACCGGACCAAUUCACACGAAAAUGCCAAUAAUCAUUCCCUAUGCCUAGGAAAGUUAACCAAAAAUUAUAAGAGUAAAACAAUCAUUGAUAUUCACCAAAGAGAUGUUUUUGGAUUCAACCACAUUAACUUGGUACCCUUUUAUUAUUAAAACUUGGCAAAAGUAGAAAUAGAGGCAAUAAUUCAACAUCAAACCUUGGCAUGCACUUACGAGCCAAUCACUAAAAAGAAGAAAAAAAAAAUGAACGAGAGGUGGACAAAUAGCAAACUAAAAAUAAAUAACUAGUAUAGCUGUCCCCCCCACACCUAGAUCCUACAUUGUCCUCAAUUGAGGGAUUAAAGCAAUUAAAACGAAGAGGGCAACGAAACUUCCCUCACGAGUGGCGAAAGGGUAGGCGGGAAAGGUGCACGGAAACUGAUGUGAUAGAAGUACGCGGCCAAGGUCUGAGAUAUCUCAACUCAAUUCAACCAGCAAAUGCAAAACUCUGUCCACCCAAAAUCUCAACAAAGCCUCCAAGUAGACAGUUAAUUUCUCAACUCAAAAGCAGCAAUUCCAGUAAUAGCAGUAUAGAAGUUGGAGAAUAACCACACAAUCACAAUCAGGUAGCCAACUACUUGAAAAUAACAAAUGCUAAUCAAAAUACCCCCAACCAGUACCACUGGUGCAAAACGUAGUCCAAAAUCAAUGAAAUUGCUAUAGCAGAGUAGAGCAGUAGUAAAGCAAUAGCCCCAAGUGUUAAUCUAAUCACAAGAAAGAUUCUAAACCUCUAAAGAAGAACAACAGGCGACUGGAAUUCCAAUGAAUAGAGCAAGUAGAGGAACCGUAGGUGGGAACCCAGUUCACCGAAGUCAAUAAACAAACCCAGGAAACAAAUAAGUCCUCAAAUGAGUCAACAAAUUGCACAAAUGAUCAGACCAAAAUCACAGACACUGUUCCUCCAAAUCAGCAAUAUAAACCAACAUCCAGAAUGUCCUCAAAAACUCGAUUAAAAACUACUAAUGCCAACAAGGAAUGCAGUUGCCGAAUUAAAUCAACCAAAAUUUCAACAAGCACAACACUGGCCGAGAUCCUUCCCAAAAUAUCACAGACAAUUGUUAAAAUUCCAGCCCACCCAAGAACUUCAACAAUUCCCCCCAAAAGUUUGAACAAAUGUCCCCCCCCGGCACUGUGCUAGAGCACAACCAAUUUCAACGAAUGUGCUAAUCAAAGAGGCCAAGAGCAGGGCAACUGUCAAACACCCAAUAACCCAGAACAAUUGAACUCAAAUCCACAAAAAACACAAUAAAUAUUCCCAAGAAAUUGGCCGACCCGAAAUAGCAAGUUAGAAUAUAGACCGUAGUAACACAGGCAUAAUCCCCGCACUAUCAAUUAGAUAGGCAAUAACAGCAAAUGAACAAAUCCGGAGUAAAGUAACACAGCUGCUAAAUGAUACCAAUCAACACCAAAAAUUGGGGAUCGAGGUUGAAAUACCUCUACCGGCUACCAAAUAAAGAACUGGGGCGGUAGUGGUUGGCGUGAGGUGAGGCAAAGCUGAUGAUGGCCGCGGGAGAGAGAGAGGGAAGCGAAGUGGGUGGCGUGUCUGGUGGUCAGCCGCUGGUGGCGCACGAGGUUGCAGAGCUGGUGGCCGCUGAGGUUGACCGCACGGCGGUGGUCUUGGGCUGUGGCAGGCAGCGGCGAAAUGGUGGCGGCUGGAGCACGCAGGUGGAGAUGGCGCAACGGGCUCGCUGGGGAGAGAGCUGCGCGCAAGGGCUGAUGGACUGGUGGAGGUUGGCGCGCGGUGUCGGUGACAGGCCGCGGCGGGCGGUGGUGGCAUAUCCGGUGGUGGAAAGAGAGCUGAGGGCGGCACUGAGCUUGGAGGUGUGCGGGUAGCAGGGGCGACGGACCAGCAGGGGAACAGAGUAGAAGAAAGAAAGAAAAGAGAAAGAAAGAAGAAGAAAGAAAGAAAGAAAAGAAAGAAAAAGAAAGGAUUUUUUUUUUUUUGUUUUUACGUUGACAAGUCAAGGACUAGCUACGGUUAAGGAGAAAGAAAAAUUCUUCCUUUUGAUUCCGUAUUACUUCCUCUUUUUUUCUUUUUUUUCAAAAAUUUUUUUAUUUUUAUUUUAUUUUUUAUUUGUUCUCUUUUGUAACAAAAAAGAAAAGAGGUAGCUACGGUUAAAAGAAAUUUUUUUUUUUUUUUUGAAUCCUUACCUUUACCUUUCCCACGAACGUGACGCGGGCACGUCAUGAGGGCAAGAGAGCUCCCAGAAGUUUCUGAUCGUGAGCUUCCUGCACAUCACCACGCGGGCGCGUCAUGACUGAAGGUCACCUACAAAUCAGCAAAAACGAAAAUUAACACCCAAAAUCAGUCAAAUUCAAGGAAAAAUAGAUUUAAACUAUGACACGAAACCAACAAACAACUAAAAGAAACAAUUGGGUUGCCUCCCAAUGAGCGCCUUUCUUUAAUGUCUUUGGCUAGACAUUAUCAUGUUUUGUUCAUGGAGGAUAAAAUCGUGUGGCUCGUCUUAAUGCUUCAUCCUCUAUAUAGUCCUGAUAACCCUCGUAAAUAGAAUAAUCCUUGAGCAUACGAGCUACGGGCUUCCAUGGACUAGUGAAUGGCGCCAAACGAGUCGAUGAUAAGUUGAAUUCUCCGUUCACUCCUCCCCCACUUGCAUUUAUUGGUUCAAGAUAUCUUGCCAUCGCCACUCUUAAUUUAUUCCUGUCAUGAAAUUCAAAAUUGUCCGGUAUAAUAAAGUCAAUUUCGUUAACAGGAAUUGAAGAGUAAGAGUCAGGAGAACAUUGAUGAAGGAGUGGAGAAGAUGUCACCGUAUUUGGAGCUUGUUCACUGGAUUCAUUCACUUGAAUGAGUUGAUCCUGGAGUCUCAUUUUUUGCACUUCAACUUCCUUUUCAACUGCAUCUUUAAAUCCGUUUUCUUGAAACUCUUGCAGUUCCAUGUCAUUUGGCCGGAUAAUUGCACUCUCAUCUCCUUCAAGAUUGAUAUUGGUUUGUGAGGGCAAUUCUUCAAGGUGAGCCUCUAAUCGCUCUAUCCUGGAUGUCAAUUGACGCAAUUGAUCUGCCAGGUCGCGACAGCUCGCUUGUGUCUUCUGAUGAAAUCGAUUUAGGCUCGCUUGUGUCUCCUGAUGAAAUCGAUUUGAAUUAGCAAUUAGUAAACCUAUCAUUUCUUCAAGAGACAUACCUGACACGGAGGAUGAUUGCUGAGACUCUUGCUGUUGAAAAUCCAUUGGCCCCGUCGCAUAAUUAAAAUUGGAAUUAUCCUACCAUUCUUGAUCAUACCCGUUUGAAUAAGGGUCAUACUGCGUUUGAUAUUGGAGUGGAAAAUCUCCAAAAGUAUCAAGUGGAGAACUUUAAUUAUCUUGAAAUACGGGGCAUGUGUCAGUUGAAUAACUUGAGUCAAAAUAAGUUCCACAAUUUGCAACAGCCCAUUGAUCAUUAGGAAAAACAUGAGUCUCAUAACCCCAUUCAGGAACAAAAUCCAGUCUAUCAUCAAAAUAUGGAAUGUUAGCAGCCAUAAAAAAAUAAUAAUAAUAAUAAAUAAGAGAAAAAUAAAUUAAAAAAUGAAAACAAGAUAAACUCAAAAAGAAACAAUUUAAUCUGGCACCAGUCCCCGGCAACGGCACCAAAAAUUGACAGGUGCCGAACCUGUGCAAUAAUAAAUACCUACUCGAGAAAAAUACAGAUUUUGUAUAUAGCGGUGAGUAGGGUCGAAUCCACAGGGACUGGGGAUAAUUCGUUUCUUCUAGAGUCCAAAGUGUGGGGGGGUUUGGAUUAAAUGCUAACUAAAUAAAUUAACUGCAGAGAAUAAUUAAUUUAAAAAAAAUGAUUGGGGAAACUCUAGCCAAGGGUACACAUCAGAAAUGGUUCAUGCACUGAUCAUUGAUGCAGAAAUAAUUCCAACACUUAGCAAUAGAUUAGUUAUAGUUGUCAUGCACGCGAUAGACAACCAACCCUUCCUUAAUUUUUCGAUAGCUAAGGUACGACCGUUAGCUAUUUCUCUAACCCAAAAAUAACCCUAGGUACGACCGUAGGAUUUAAUUUCUAGAUUGCAUUAAUAAUUAGAAAGGUACAAUCCUAACCAACAAACACGCUACGAGGGUUUUUUAAAUUAGAUCAUAUGCUCCCCUGACAUAAACCCAAUUACGCCAGUUGCUACUGAGGUAGAGAUAACGAACAAUUACGGAUUCAAUUACCCCUAUUUAGCAAAAAUAGCCUAUAUGAAUAAUUAAUUAUUGCGCACUAAUCAAUCAUACACAAGGCCAUAGCAAUUAAAAUCAAGGAACAUAUAAAUACCAAUAAAUGAAGAAAAUAAUUAAAACAGAUUCGAUCUCACAGUAAUUGUCGAACCAAAUCGUCAGUUGUCCCCUUGACUAGAAAAGCUUAACCACGCCUCAUGAGAAAAUCUCCCCGUUGGGGAAUAUUGUCGAAUACCUCGCGAAUAUUGUCGAAUACCUCGCGUGUGUCAGAGGCCAGUCCAAAGAACUAAACUAAAAAACUAAACUAAAAAACUAAAACUAAAGCCCUAGAUAUCUUUUUCUUCUGUACGUUGUCCCCUUUUAAAGCAACAAAAGAAAGAUGACUAAAAGCUAUCUAGGUGGUCCCCACACAUGUGGAUAAAGCCUCCCAAGUACUUCUUGUUCCAAGUCUCUCUACGUUGCUUUCUUUGAAGCCCAAAUGACCAAAUGCCUUUCACUAGCUUGUGGUCCCCCACCAAUUCAAGGGCCCAAGGAUUGAAACCCUUAGAAGUCUCCAUAUUUUUCACAAAGUCCCUCCUUUUUGGUAGUUUUCUGCUUCAUUCCUGAAAUUGAUUCCAAAUACCAAAUAUGAGUAAAUAUCAGCAAUUAACACAAUAUUUGUCAGGGAUAGAAGGGAAAAUUAAUAAUAAAAAUACCAACAAUUAACACCCUAUCAAAAGGUAAGUAUUCAAGACUCGAGAAAAAUUUUCAAUUUCCUGUUAAUUUCUAAUUUUGAAUUUCAAAAAAAAUUUUUGUUAAUAAUAAUAACAAAAAAAUAAAAAAAUUUUAAAUUAAAAAAACCUAAAAAAUUUAAAAAAUUAAAAAACCUAUUUCUUUUUCUUUUUCCUUUUCUUUCUUUCUUUUUUUUUUUCUUUUUCUUUUCUUUCCUUCUUCUCUCUUGUUUCACUUUCUCUUGGCCGAAACCCACAAGCAACUGCCGCCGCUCUCCUCUCCUCCCUAGCCUCGCGCGCCUUUCUCUUCCUCUCUCGCUCUCCCUCUCCACCGCACCAUCGACGACGCGCACAGCCGCAGCCCCACUUUCUUGCGCGCCGCUCAUUGCACUCUAGGCCGCUGCCGCUAUACGCUGCUCCACGCAUCCGUCUCUCUUGUCCCUCGCACGCAAUCGAGUUCCCCGUCGUAGCCAGCUCGUGAGCGCGCGCCGCCACCCUUCCUCUUUCCCUUGCUCUCUCACCACGCCGCAACCACUGCUCAUAGCCCACGGACGGCCACCACCAUGUGCCGCCAGCCCUCCAUCUCCCUCACGCGUGGCAUGAACCAUGCUCCACCAGCUCUCACCAUCUGUCUAAUUUUGACAGGUGGAGGUAUUGUAUUUUUUCUAUCAUUAAUUAAUCCUCUGGGACAUCAAUUUCUAAAAUAUCGUUCAUUAAUUGUUGUUGCCCUUUUCUUACUUGGUUGCCCUGUACUGCACUGGUGGGGUUGAUUUGUUUGAUUUCCCAUCUGUUAUUUGGGAAUUAAUUGGGAGUUAUGUGCAAAUUGAUUGCCAUUUUGGUUUCCUCUAAAUGCUGGUAUUGUUUGGUGUUGGUUGGGAUUUCUCAGUAGUUUCGAUUGACUGGUUGAUUUGUUGAUUACCUUUGCGUGCUCCAGUGGUACUGGUUGUGGUAGUUUGCAUAUAAUUUAUUACUCCUCUGUGAUUGGCUACCUAAUUGACCGCUGGGCAUCUGUGACUGAGUUGUUCUUGUCCAAUUGGAGAAUUUGUUGAGAUUUUGGGUGGACAGAGUUUUGCAUUUGCUGGUUGAAUUGAGUUGAGAUGUCUCAGAACUUGGCCGCGUACUUCCAUCACAUCGGUUUCACUCCACUAUUCCCUCCUAUCCCUUAGCCAUUCAACAGGGAAGUUUCAUUGUUCUCUUCGCUUUAAUUACUUUAUUACCUCCAUUGAGGAUAAUGUAGGAUUUAGGUGUGGGAGGGGGGAGCAGUUAUGGUGCUAGUGUCUUUAGUUUUGAGUUUUUAGAUGUUUUUUUUUCUUUAUUUUUAGUUUGUUAUUUGUCCACCUCUCAUUCAUUUUCUUUCUUUCUUUUUAGUGAUUAGCUCGUAAGUGCAUGCCAAGACUUGAUGUUGAUUUAUUGACUCUAAUUCUGCUAUUGCCAAGUUUUAAUAAUAAAAGUGCAUCAAGUUAAUGUGGUUGAGUCCAAGAACAUCUCUUUGGUGAAUAUCGGUGAUUGUUUUACUCUUAUAAUUUUUGGUUAACUUUCCUAGGCACUGGGAAUGAUUGUUGGCAUUUUCAUGUGAAUUGGCCCAGUGAUUAACUUUAGUUCUCCAUGUUUGGGGAAAAUGAGGCUAGCUGCUUUUUCUUUGUGAUAUUAUGAGAUAUUAUGUUAUCUGAUUAUGAAAUAAAGUUGAUUGUACUCCGCUAUUUGGUACUACUGAGUAACCGGGGAUUUUCACCUAAAGUGUCGAUUCUCGCGUCAAAAAGUAGUAAUUUCUAUGAGUACGUGGUCGUAUAGCGAUAGGAGCUAAGUAACCGGGCUCCUUCAUCUGGCAAAUGUUGGAGUUCGCGUCAAAAAGCUCCGAUGGCUAAAGACUAAGUCUUUUGUGCUAUUGAAAAAAAAAAGAAAAAAGAAAAAAAUAAAUAACAAAAAAAAAGAAGUGAAAGUUGUGUUAGUGUGUGAUAAAAGUCAGCUUGCCGAUUUGUAGAUUUAAUAUUGAGAUUUUGGUUAAUAACUGGACCAUUUGCUGAUAAAUGUUGUGUGCCAUUCUUUUUUCUUAGAUUAGUUAACCUAGAAUUGAAGGAGUUUGUGGUUUAGAAGUUAACCGGGGUGAUGUUUCUUGGGUAUUGAUCACUGAUGCUUGAUAUAUGUUUUUCUUGGUAUCUUGGCAAUAUGGUAGACGGGGCAAUGACCAUUGUCAAAUAUUGGUACUUGUUUGUUGUUCUCAUGCUUGAGGGCAAACAUGGUUUAGGUGUGGGGGGAAUUGAUAGGUUGGAAUUUUAUCAUUUAUUUUAUUAUUAAUUUCCCUUAUUACCUGACUUGAUGUGGAUUAAUUGUUAGAUUCUACUCACUUUUGGCAAUUUGCAUUUAUUUCAGGGAUUUGAUCGAAAACACCAUAACAAGUGCCAAUUUAGCAAUCAUCAGGAAAGAGCUCGAGUAGCAGGCAUCCAGGGGCAUUUUUGGAACAAGAAGACGCGACCCUUUUUGAUAAUUUACGGAAGACAGCAUAAAAGAGGAAAAGGAAUGAAGGGCUGGAACUUCUUCUUCCUCUCGCCGGGGGGGAGGGGGAGCCGCCGCACGGUGGCCAGGCAUUAGAUAGAAAUAGGAAAUAGAGUAGAAAACUGGUAGGAGUACUUUAGAUUAGCCUUUGACUUUUCUUUUUUAGUUUUUGGAUAGUGGAGACUCUUAGUAGUUGUUGCUUCCUUCGUGAAUGCAUUGGAUGAUUCCUUUUUCUUUGCUUUCUGCUCUUUGACUUUUCUUUGGUUCUUAGUAAUUUCUUUUCCUUCCACGUAUGUCAAUUCCGAAUCCUUCUUCGUAUUACUACUUCGGACGAAUUGAGUUUUCCCAAUUUCAAAGGACAAUGGCUGCUGCUUUCUCUUCAAUUUUGUGUGGGUCUCUCUUGUCAGGGAUGAACUAAAUCCCCUUUUCUAGUCAAGAAACAACAGAGGCUUUGGUUCGCCUAAAAAUUGUGAGAUCAAUUUAAUUUUAUCUUUUCCUUUUAUUUAUUAGUAUUCGCAUAUUCUCUGAUUACAGUGAUUAUGAUUGUCCAAUUAAUUGAUUGUCUUGGAUCCGGAUAAUUAGUUGAUUGGGUAAUCUAUUGUCAAUUAGGGUGUUAAAUCCGUAAUUGUUUAAUUGCUCUAAAAUAGUGACAACUGGCAUGAUUGAGUUUGUGUCAGGGGAAUACGCGAGCUAAUCUAAAAUAACCCUGGUAGUGCGUUAUUUGGUUAGAAUAAGGCUCCUCUAAUACGUAAGGCAAUUGAUGAAUUAAAUCUUAUGGGCGUACCUAAAAUUAUUUCUCAAUUAGAGCAGUGAUUAACGGGCGUACCUUAAUCACCGACACAGUAAGGAGGGGUUGACUGUCAUCGCUUGUUUGUCAGUUAUAACCUAUUUAUUGGUAAAUAAUUGGAAUUGACUUUGCAUCGAUGAUCAAUUAGGUGAACCAUUGCUGAAGUUAUUUCUUGGCUAGAUCCUUAAUUAUCACCCAUUUGAUUUUAGUAAUUUGUUAUUUAAUUUUUUAGUAGUUUCUUAGAUUUUAUUUGAAUUUCUUUGAUUGUCACCUUCUGCACAAAAACACCCCCUUUGUUACUGUGAAUUUAAAAAGAAACAGUUACAUCCAAUCCCUGUGGAUUCGACUCUGCUUGCCACUAUUUACAAAAAUUAACUUUAAUUGAGCAGGUUUUAUUAUUGCACAGGCUGACAACCUGUCAAAUUCAAUUUCAAUUUAAAAUUUAUUUUUUUCACGUGUAACAUGCAACUACGAUACUAGUGUAAUAAAAUUCCCUAGACUAACAAUACAUGAAAGCUUAAUCCUUCAAAUUUUAGGUUAUCCUUCUUUCUAAUGCAUGUUAGUUCUGAAUUCCCAUUACUAGAAAUUGUUAGCUAUUUAAAUAUUUAAUAUGCUAAGCUUUAAUACCUUAAACCAGAAAUAAAGACUUUUUGUUCUAAAUUUGGCAGUUUAAUAAUAACAAACCCCUCAAAGAUUAUGCAUUUCUUACUUUGCCCCCCUUAUUUUUUCAAGAGGAUCAGUUUGCCCCCAAAACUUUUCAAUAUGUUGCACUGUAAUACAAUCGACUGAGAAUUGCAGACUAAAAUUGAUUUCAUCAGGUGAUGUGCCCAUUAUGCAAGGAAAGAAGAAGUCUGGUAUCUAUUAAUUCAACAAUCUGUGGAUUUGGAAAAACAAUCUACACUUGAAUGCCUUUUUAUUCACAAAUCAAUGUUUGCAUUUAUAAAAUGAAUGGAAUAGUAUCCAUGUCAUUCUUUUACAUGUGAAGUCACAUGAUAAUUCACAAUCAUUGCUUUCAUUGAGGGAAAAUAUGUCAUUUUUGUGCAUUUUAUGCAUCUAAAAUGAUGAUCUUUGGUCCAUAGGAAUUUCUUGAAUUGUUCAUAUCAUACUAAGAAUAACUUUUUAAAAAAAUUAAUGGACAUAAUACUGUAGUUGGACAAUGAGGCUAAGAAAGUGAGAAUCAUAUACUUUUUGAUGUUUCAUUUUUGUAAUUAACCUAAAUUUGUGUUCCUUACAAGUAUUGCUUUUUUCUUUUGUUUAUAUUAGUUUUCCACAAAGUUAUUUAGACAGGUUACCAUGUCGUAUGUAUAAAUAUUCCUUUUCUGUUCUAGAUUUCUAAGAUUUCAAUUUUAAGUGAUUAAUUUACGUUAGUUUCCAUUCAGAAUGUUUAAAGUACGUACUCAUUGCAAAUAAAAACAAUUCAAAACACAAAAACAAGCCAAUAGAGAGUUAGGAAUAGUUGUAGCUAAUUUUUCAUUCUUAUUACUCUUUCACGAGUCAACUAUCUAACAAAGGUUAACACUUUUUCCUUCAACCCCUUUUCUCCUUCACCUAUCACUUUUCCUCGUAAAACCAAAGAAGACAAAGAUCAAGUUUUCUGCAACGUACUUAUUUAUCCUUUCACACUUGUCCUUCACUUCCCUAACCCAUGUCCAUGGUUUAUGUGGAGAGGAAGCCAAGAAAUAAAUUCAGCAAUGGUUCACCCAAUUGAUCAUCAAAGCAAAGGUAAUCCCAAUUAUUUAUCAAUAAAUAGGUUAUAACUACCAAACAAGCGAUGGCAGUCAACCCCUCCUUACUGUGUCGGUGAUCAAGGUACGCCCGUUAAUCACUGCUCUAAUUGAGAAAUAAUCCUAGGUACGCCCGUAGGAUUUAAUUCCCCAAUUGCCUUACGUAUUAGAGGAGUCCUAUUCUAACCAAAUAACGCACUACCAGGGUUAUUUUAGAUUAACCCGCGUAUUCCCCUGACACAAACCUAAUCAUGCCAGUUGUCACUAUUUUAGAGCAAUUAAACAAUUACGGAUUUAAUGCCCUAAUUGACAAUAGAUUACCAAAUCAAUUAAUUAUCCGGAUCCAAAACAACCAAUUAAUUGAACAAUCAUAAGCACUGCAAUCAAGGAAUAUACGAAUACCAAUAAAUAAAAGGGAAAGAUUAAAUUAAAUCGAUCUCACAAUUUCAGGCAAGCCAAAGCCUCCGUUGUUCCUUGACUAGACAAAGGGAUUUAGUUCAUCCCUUGUCUACUCCUAUCGAAAAGAAAAGAAAAGUAACAACUCCAGAUGAAAGGAAAAGUCAAAAGCUCCUCCAUCCAAGCAGUGAUCCUGACUUGCGCAGGAGCAACUACUGAAAGACGGAAAACGGCCCAGUCAAAGUGUAAAGCCACGAAUCCCUAAAGUAGUGCUAAUUCCCCCUUUUUACAUACGAGAAUUGAAAAUUAAGCCAAAAGCCCACAAGAGAAAAGUCAACAAAAGCAAUCCAAAAGUGACCCUUCUCUGCGGUGGCCCACCAAAAAGAAGAAAACCCUCCAGCCGUCCUAGCCUUUGCGGUAAUUACCAAAUUGGGUUCCAGUAUUCCUUUUCCAAAAAUGCCCCUGGGAUAAUCUCUAUUACUUGGACUCUUUUCUUGUUAAAUUGGCACUUGUUAUCAUAUCUUCGUUCUACUCCCUGAAAUAAAUGUAAAAUAUCAAAAGUGAGUAGAAUCUAACAAUUAAUCCACAUUAGGUCAGAUAAUAGGGGAAAUUAAUAAUAAAAUAAAUGAUAAAAUUGCAACCUAUCAAUUUCCCCCACACCUAAACCAUGCUUGUCCUCAAGCAUGAGAACAGCAAACAAGUACCAAUAUUUGACAAUGGUCAUUGCUCCAUCUACCAUAUUGCCAAAAUACCAAGAAAAAUAUAUAUCAAGCAUGGGUGAUCAAGAUCCAAGAAACAUCACUUCGGUCAGCUUCUAAACCACAAACUCCUCUAAUUUCAGGUUAACUAAUCUAAGAAAAAGGAAUGACGCACAACAUUUAUCAACAAAUGGUCCAACUAUUAACCAAAAUCUCAACAUUAAAUCCAUAAUUCGGCAAGCUGACUUUUAUUACACACUAACACAACCUUCACUUUUUUUCACAAUUUUUUUCUACUUUUCUCUCUUUUUUUUUUUAUUCUUUUUUUUAAUAGUAACAAAAGACUUAGUCACUAGCCAUUUGAGCCUUUUGACGCGAACUCCAACAUUGGCCAGAUGAAGGAGCCCAGUUACUCAGCUUCUAUCGCCACGUGACCAC
rnacentral:lncRNA from 1 species